rnacentral:rRNA from 1 species
UAAGGAAUAUUGCGCAAUGGGCGACAGCCUGACGCAGCGACGCCGCGUGGGGGAUGAAGGUCUUCGGAUUGUAAACCCCUUUCGGCAGGGAAGAUGGAACGGGUAACCGUUCGGACGGUACCUGCAGAAGCAGCCACGGCUAACUUCGUGCCAGCAGCCGCGGUAAUACGAAGGUGGCAAGCGUUGUUCGGAUUUACUGGGCGUACAGGGAGCGUAGGCGGUUGGGUAAGCCCUCCGUGAAAUCUCCGGGCCUAACCCGGAAAGUGCGGAGGGGACUGCUCGGCUAGAGGAUGGGAGAGGAGCGCGGAAUUCCCGGUGUAGCGGUGAAAUGCGUAGAGAUCGGGAGGAAGGCCGGUGGCGAAGGCGGCGCUCUGGAACAUUUCUGACGCUGAGGCUCGAAAGCGUGGGGAGCAAACAGGAUUAGAUACCCCUGUAGUCCCUGAGCGGGCUGGCAAGGCGCAU